UACGGGGGGGGCAAGCGUUGUUCGGAAUUACUGGGCGUAAAGGGCGCGCAGGCGGCCCGGAAAGUCGGAUGUGAAAACUCGAGGCUCAACCUCGAGCGUGCACCCGAUACUGCCGGGCUUGAGGCAGGUAGGGGAGAUCGGAAUUCCUGGUGUAGCGGUGAAAUGCGCAGAUAUCAGGAGGAACACCGGUGGCGAAGGCGGAUCUCUGGGCCUGUCCUGACGCUGAGGCGCGAAAGCUAGGGGAGCGAACAGG
rnacentral:rRNA from 1 species